GGAUAGGGUUAGUUCCGAUGCAGUCGAACGGCAGCGCGAGAGAGCUUGCUCUCUUGGCGGCGAGUGGCGGACGGGUGAGUAAUAUAUCGGAACGUGCCCAGUAGCGGGGGAUAACUACUCGAAAGAGUGGCUAAUACCGCAUACGCCCUACGGGGGAAAGGGGGGGAUCGCAAGACCUCUCACUAUUGGAGCGGCCGAUAUCGGAUUAGCUAGUUGGUGGGGUAAAGGCUCACCAAGGCAACGAUCCGUAGCUGGUUUGAGAGGACGACCAGCCACACUGGGACUGAGACACGGCCCAGACUCCUACGGGAGGCAGCAGUGGGGAAUUUUGGACAAUGGGGGAAACCCUGAUCCAGCCAUCCCGCGUGUAUGAUGAAGGCCUUCGGGUUGUAAAGUACUUUUGGCAGAGAAGAAAAGGUAUCCCCUAAUACGGGAUACUGCUGACGGUAUCUGCAGAAUAAGCACCGGCUAACUACGUGCCAGCAGCCGCGGUAAUACGUAGGGUGCAAGCGUUAAUCGGAAUUACUGGGCGUAAAGCGUGUGUAGGCGGUUCGGAAAGAAAGAUGUGAAAUCCCAGGGCUCAACCUUGGAACUGCAUUUUUAACUGCCGAGCUAGAGUAUGUCAGAGGGGGGUAGAAUUCCACGUGUAGCAGUGAAAUGCGUAGAUAUGUGGAGAAUACCGAUGGCGAAGGCAGCCCCCUGGGAUAAUACUGACGCUCAGACACGAAAGCGUGGGGAGCAAACAGGAUUAGAUACCCUGGUAGUCCACGCCCUAAACGAUGUCAACUAGCUGUUGGGGCCGUUAGGCCUUAGUAGCGCAGCUAACGCGUGAAGUUGACGCUGGGGAGUACGGUCGCAGAUUAAAACUCAAGGAAUUGACGGGGACCCGCACAAGCGGUGGAUGAUGUGGAUUAAUUCGAUGCAACGCGAAAAACCUUACCUACCCUUGACAUGUCUGGAAAGCCGAAGAGAUUUGGCCGUGCUCGCAAGAGAACCGGAACACAGGUGCUUGUGGCGUUUUUCACUCGUGUCGUGAGAUGUUGGGUUAAGUCCCGCAACGAGCGCAACCCUUGUCAUUAGUUGCUACGCAAGAGCACUCUAAUGAGACUGCCGGUGACAAACCGGAGGAAGGUGGGGAUGACGUCAAGUCCUCAUGGCCCUUAUGGGUAGGGCUUCACACGUCAUACAAUGGUCGGGACAGAGGGUCGCCAACCCGCGAGGGGGAGCCAAUCUCAGAAACCCGAUCGUAGUCCGGAUCGCAGUCUGCAACUCGACUGCGUGAAGUCGGAAUCGCUAGUAAUCGCGGAUCAGAAUGUCGCGGUGAAUACGUUCCCGGGUCUUGUACACACCGCCCGUCACACCAUGGGAGUGGGUUUCACCAGAAGUAGGUAGCCUAACCGCAAGGAGGGCGCUACCACGUCCCAUUU
rnacentral:rRNA from 1 species